UUAAGUUAUUAAGGGCGCACGGUGGAUGCCUUGGCACUAGAAGCCGAUGAAGGACGUUACUAACGACGAUAUGCUUUGGGGAGCUGUAAGUAAGCUUUGAUCCAGAGAUUUCCGAAUGGGGAAACCCAGCAUGAGUUAUGUCAUGUUAUCGAUAUGUGAAUACAUAGCAUAUCAGAAGGCACACCCGGAGAACUGAAACAUCUUAGUAACCGGAGGAAGAGAAAGAAAAUUCGAUUCCCUUAGUAGCGGCGAGCGAAACGGGAAGAGCCCAAACCAACAAGCUUGCUUGUUGGGGUUGUAGGACACUCUAUACGGAGUUACAAAGGACGACAUUAGACGAAUCAUCUGGAAAGAUGAAUCAAAGAAGGUAAUAAUCCUGUAGUCGAAAAUGUUGUCUCUCUUGAGUGGAUCCUGAGUACGACGGAGCACGUGAAAUUCCGUCGGAAUCUGGGAGGACCAUCUCCUAAGGCUAAAUACUCUCUAGUGACCGAUAGUGAACCAGUACCGUGAGGGAAAGGUGAAAAGCACCCCGGAAGGGGAGUGAAAUAGAACCUGAAACCGUGUGCUUACAAGUAGUCAGAGCCCGUUAAUGGGUGAUGGCGUGCCUUUUGUAGAAUGAACCGGCGAGUUACGAUUUGAUGCAAGGUUAAGCAGUAAAUGUGGAGCCGUAGCGAAAGCGAGUCUGAAUAGGGCGUUUAGUAUUUGGUCGUAGACCCGAAACCAGGUGAUCUACCCUUGGUCAGGUUGAAGUUCAGGUAACACUGAAUGGAGGACCGAACCGACUUACGUUGAAAAGUGAGCGGAUGAACUGAGGGUAGCGGAGAAAUUCCAAUCGAACCUGGAGAUAGCUGGUUCUCUCCGAAAUAGCUUUAGGGCUAGCCUCAAGUGAUGAUUAUUGGAGGUAGAGCACUGUUUGGACGAGGGGCCCCUCUCGGGUUACCGAAUUCAGACAAACUCCGAAUGCCAAUUAAUUUAACUUGGGAGUCAGAACAUGGGUGAUAAGGUCCGUGUUCGAAAGGGAAACAGCCCAGACCACCAGCUAAGGUCCCAAAAUAUAUGUUAAGUGGAAAAGGAUGUGGCGUUGCCCAGACAACUAGGAUGUUGGCUUAGAAGCAGCCAUCAUUUAAAGAGUGCGUAAUAGCUCACUAGUCGAGUGACACUGCGCCGAAAAUGUACCGGGGCUAAACAUAUUACCGAAGCUGUGGAUUGUCCUUUGGACAAUGGUAGGAGAGCGUUCUAAGGGCGUUGAAGCAUGAUCGUAAGGACAUGUGGAGCGCUUAGAAGUGAGAAUGCCGGUGUGAGUAGCGAAAGACGGGUGAGAAUCCCGUCCACCGAUUGACUAAGGUUUCCAGAGGAAGGCUCGUCCGCUCUGGGUUAGUCGGGGCCUAAGCUGAGGCCGACAGGCGUAGGCGAUGGAUAACAGGUUGAUAUUCCUGUACCACCUAUAAUCGUUUUAAUCGAUGGGGGGACGCAGUAGGAUAGGCGAAGCGUGCGAUUGGAUUGCACGUCUAAGCAGUAAGGCUGAGUAUUAGGCAAAUCCGGUACUCGUUAAGGCUGAGCUGUGAUGGGGAGAAGACAUUGUGUCUUCGAGUCGUUGAUUUCACACUGCCGAGAAAAGCCUCUAGAUAGAAAAUAGGUGCCCGUACCGCAAACCGACACAGGUAGUCAAGAUGAGAAUUCUAAGGUGAGCGAGCGAACUCUCGUUAAGGAACUCGGCAAAAUGACCCCGUAACUUCGGGAGAAGGGGUGCUCUUUAGGGUUAACGCCCAGAAGAGCCGCAGUGAAUAGGCCCAAGCGACUGUUUAUCAAAAACACAGGUCUCUGCUAAACCGUAAGGUGAUGUAUAGGGGCUGACGCCUGCCCGGUGCUGGAAGGUUAAGAGGAGUGGUUAGCUUCUGCGAAGCUACGAAUCGAAGCCCCAGUAAACGGCGGCCGUAACUAUAACGGUCCUAAGGUAGCGAAAUUCCUUGUCGGGUAAGUUCCGACCCGCACGAAAGGCGUAACGAUUUGGGCACUGUCUCAACGAGAGACUCGGUGAAAUCAUAGUACCUGUGAAGAUGCAGGUUACCCGCGACAGGACGGAAAGACCCCGUGGAGCUUUACUGUAGCCUGAUAUUGAAAUUCGGCACAGCUUGUACAGGAUAGGUAGGAGCCUUUGAAACGUGAGCGCUAGCUUACGUGGAGGCGCUGGUGGGAUACUACCCUAGCUGUGUUGGCUUUCUAACCCGCACCACUUAUCGUGGUGGGAGACAGUGUCAGGCGGGCAGUUUGACUGGGGCGGUCGCCUCCUAAAAGGUAACGGAGGCGCUCAAAGGUUCCCUCAGAAUGGUUGGAAAUCAUUCAUAGAGUGUAAAGGCAUAAGGGAGCUUGACUGCGAGACCUACAAGUCGAGCAGGGUCGAAAGACGGACUUAGUGAUCCGGUGGUUCCGCAUGGAAGGGCCAUCGCUCAACGGAUAAAAGCUACCCCGGGGAUAACAGGCUUAUCUCCCCCAAGAGUUCACAUCGACGGGGAGGUUUGGCACCUCGAUGUCGGCUCAUCGCAUCCUGGGGCUGUAGUCGGUCCCAAGGGUUGGGCUGUUCGCCCAUUAAAGCGGUACGCGAGCUGGGUUCAGAACGUCGUGAGACAGUUCGGUCCCUAUCCGUCGUGGGCGUAGGAAAUUUGAGAGGAGCUGUCCUUAGUACGAGAGGACCGGGAUGGACAUACCUCUGGUGUACCAGUUGUCGUGCCAACGGCAUAGCUGAGUAGCUAUGUGUGGACGGGAUAAGUGCUGAAAGCAUCUAAGCAUGAAGCCCCCCUCAAGAUGAGAUUUCCCAACUUCGGUUAUAAGAUCCCUCAAAGAUGAUGAGGUUAAUAGGUUCGAGGUGGAAGCAUGGUGACAUGUGGAGCUGACGAAUACUAAUCGAUCGAAGACUUAAUCAA
rnacentral:rRNA from 1 species